UAAUUGAAAAAAUAAUAAUUAUAAUAAUAAUAAUUACGUCUAAUAAUAAUAAUAAUAAUAAUAAUGGAAUAAUUAAUAUGUGUGCCGUGUACAAAGUGCGAAAGUUUUUAACAGAAACAUGAACUUUGACGCAGAAACGCUCAGUUACACAAUUCAUAAUUUUAAAGCGA